AGAUUGAACGCUGGCGGCAUGCUUUACACAUGCAAGUCGAACGGUAACAGGCCGCAAGGUGCUGACGAGUGGCGAACGGGUGAGUAAUGUAUCGGAACGUGCCCAGUCGUGGGGGAUAACGCAGCGAAAGCUGCGCUAAUACCGCAUACGAUCUAUGGAUGAAAGCGGGGGACCGUAAGGCCUCGCGCGAUUGGAGCGGCCGAUGGCAGAGUUAGGUAGUUGGUGGGGUAAAGGCUCACCAAGCCGACGAUCUGUAGCUGGUCUGAGAGGACGACCAGCCACACUGGACUGAGACACGGCCAGACUCCGUACGGGAGCAGCGAGGUGGGAAUUUUGGACAAGUGGGACGCGAAGCCUGACUCCAGCCUACGUUCCGCGUGC
rnacentral:rRNA from 1 species